GGCCUGGUGUCGUAGCGGUAACGUACCCUCUUGUGUUAGCCAGUUGACCAUGUUCUGAGGGAGUCCCUUGUUCAAACCAAGGCCAGACCA